UACGAAGGGGGCUAGCGUUGCUCGGAAUUACUGGGCGUAAAGCGCACGUAGGCGGAUUGUUAAGUCGGGGGUGAAAUCCUGGAGCUCAACUCCAGAACUGCCUUCGAUACUGGCGAUCUCGAGUUCGGGAGAGGUGAGUGGAACUGCGAGUGUAGAGGUGAAAUUCGUAGAUAUUCGCAAGAACACCAGUGGCGAAGGCGGCUCACUGGCCCGGUACUGACGCUGAGG
rnacentral:rRNA from 1 species